UGGGCACAAACACAAGCAACACUUUUCUUCACUUUAUUAUCACAUGUGAGGAUGAGUUUAAAUGCGCCUUUCAAACGAGGUGAUAAACAUCUGAGGAAAACUUGAAACGGAGAAAUGUGGAUUCCUUCUCAGACUUGAGGAAACGGACUUCAAAAAUACUUUAAAGAUCCUUGGUCUGGAUCAUUGGGAACAUCUAGUCUGAUGGACUGAGAGCUCCAGAGAACAUGAACAUCCAGCUGUGGUUGUCUGAAGAGUCUUUUCUCCUUCAUCACUGUGAGGAAGAGCAGCACUGAUGUCCUCCUCAUCCUUCCAGUAAUAACAAUAAUGCUGCAGAUUCAGCUCCUCUCUUCGUAAUACAACUUGUCUUGUGAUUGUUCAGUUUUUACAUUUUACUGUAAGCAACACAUUAUUUAUUUCAUCCAUUUAUUAAAUGUGUUUACACAUCUUUACAGUUCAGAAUUGUUAAAUAAUGUAGUUUUUAAAUGUGCAAUAAAGGAAAUAAUGAAGCUCUUGA